rnacentral:rRNA from 1 species
UCUGGCGGCAGUAGCGCGGUGGUCCCACCUGACCCCAUGUCGAACUCAGAAGUGAAACGCCGUAGCGCCGAUGGAUGC